CUAAUACCGCAUAAGCGCACAGGACCGCAUGGUCUAGUGUGAAAAACUCCGGUGGUGUGAGAUGGACCCGCGUUUGAUUAGCUAGCUGGUGGGGUAACGGCCUACCAAGGCGACGAUCAAUAGCCGACCUGAGAGGGUGACCGGCCACAUUGGGACUGAGACACGGCCCAAACUCCUACGGGAGGCAGCAGUGGGGAAUAUUGCACAAUGGGGGAAACCCUGAUGCAGCGACGCCGCGUGAGUGAAGAAGUAUUUCGGUAUGUAAAGCUCUAUCAGCAGGGAAGAAAAUGACGGUACCUGACUAAGAAGCCCCGGCUAACUACGUGCCAGCAGCCGCGGUAAUACGUAGGGGGCAAGCGUUAUCCGGAUUUACUGGGUGUAAAGGGAGCGUAGACGGUAAAGCAAGUCUGAAGUGAAAGCCCGGGGCUCAACCCCGGGACUGCUUUGGAAACUGUUUAACUAGAGUGCUGGAGAGGUAAGCGGAAUUCCUAGUGUAGCGGUGAAAUGCGUAGAUAUUAGGAGGAACACCAGUGGCGAAGGCGGCUUACUGGACAGUAACUGACGUUGAGGCUCGAAAGCGUGGGGAGCAAACAGGAUUAGAUACCCUGGUAGUCCACGCCGUAAAC
rnacentral:rRNA from 1 species